rnacentral:pre_miRNA from 1 species
CAUAUACUCCCUCCGUCCCAAAAUAAGUGUCUCAACUUUGUACUAAAUUUAGUACAAAGUUGAGACACUUAUUUUGGAACGGAGGGAGUAGUUU